rnacentral:rRNA from 2 species
GCAAGCGGUAGAGGAGCGUCGUGUAAGCCGAUGAAGGUGGAUUGAGAAGUCUGCUGGAGGUAUCACGAGUGCGAAUGCUGACAUGAGUAACGACAAGGGGAGUGAAAAACUCCCCCGCCGGAAGACCAAGGGUUUCUGUUCGACGCUAAUCGGAGCAGAGUGAGUCGGCCCCUAAGGCGAGGCCGAAAGGCGUAGUCGAUGGGAAACGGGUCAAUAUUCCCGUACCUCACAUGGUUGCGAUGGGGGGACGAAGAAGGCUAGGUGAGCCAGGCGUUGGUAGUCCUGGUGAAAGUCAGUAGGCUGGGGGUUCAGGCAAAUCCGGAUCCCCAAGGCCGAGAGACGAGACGAACUGACCACGGUCAGGAAGUCAUCGAUGCCACGCUUCCAGGAAAAGCCUCUAAGCUUCAGAUCAUGUGGGACCGUACCCCAAACCGACACAGGUGGUCAGGUAGAGAAUACCAAGGCGCUUGAGAGAACUCGGGUGAAGGAACUAGGCAAAAUGGUGCCGUAACUUCGGGAGAAGGCACGCCGGCGUAGUGUGAAGGGCCUCGCGCCUGGAGCAUGAACCGGUCGAAGAUACCAGGUGGCUGCAACUGUUUAUUAAAAACACAGCACUCUGCAAACGCGCAAGCGGACGUAUAGGGUGUGACGCCUGCCCGGUGCCGGAAGGUUAAUUGAUGGUGUUAGCCCUCGGGCGAAGCUCCUGAUCGAAGCCCCGGUAAACGGCGGCCGUAACUAUAACGGUCCUAAGGUAGCGAAAUUCCUUGUCGGGUAAGUUCCGACCUGCACGAAUGGCGUAAUGAUGGCCACGCUGUCUCCACCCGAGACUCAGUGAAAUUGAAAUCGCAGUGAAGAUGCUGUGUACCCGCGGCUAGACGGAAAGACCCCGUGAACCUUUACUAUAGCUUCACACUGGACGCUGAUGUUGCCUGUGUAGGAUAGCUGGGAGGCUUGGAAACCCGGACGCCAGUUCGGGUGGAGCCAACCUUGAAAUACCAGCCUGGCAUCAUUGGCGUUCUAACUCAGGUCCGUUAUCCGGAUCGAGGACAGUGUGUGGUGGGUAGUUUGACUGGGGCGGUCUCCUCCUAAAGAGUAACGGAGGAGCACGAAGGUACCCUCAGCACGGUCGGAAAUCGUGCAGUGAGUGCAAGAGCAUAAGGGUGCUUGACUGCGAGACAGACACGUCGAGCAGGUACGAAAGUAGGUUCUAGUGAUCCGGUGGUUCUGUAUGGAAGGGCCAUCGCUCAACGGAUAAAAGGUACUCCGGGGAUAACAGGCUGAUACCGCCCAAGAGUUCACAUCGACGGCGGUGUUUGGCACCUCGAUGUCGGCUCAUCACAUCCUGGGGCUGAAGUCGGUCCCAAGGGUAUGGCUGUUCGCCAUUUAAAGUGGUACGCGAGCUGGGUUUAGAACGUCGUGAGACAGUUCGGUCCCUAUCUGCCGUGGGCGUUGGACGUUUGAGAAGAGCUGCUCCUAGUACGAGAGGACCGGAGUGGACGCACCUCUGGUGUUCCGGUUGUCACGCCAGUGGCAUUGCCGGGUAGCUAUGUGCGGACAGGAUAACCGCUGAAAGCAUCUAAGCGGGAAGCCCCCUUCAAGAUGAGACGUCCCCGAGGCCUUGAGCCUCCUAAAGGGCCCAGCAAGACCAGCUGGUUGAUAGGCCGGGUGUGGAAGCGCUGCAAGGCGUUGAGCUAACCGGUACUAAUUGCCCGUGAGGCUUGACCAUAUAACCCCAAGGGGU